CAAGAUUCUUCUAAAAAUCAUAAUUUGUGUUCUGCAGAAGAAAGUCAAAUUAUGAGGGAAUUGAUUUAACUUUGGGGUGAACUUUCCCUUUAAUUUAUUGUCUGUGUUGGUCUUUCAACAGGCAUGAUCACAGCUGUUGGAUUGUCAAACCUACAGAGUGUAGACCUAAACUACUCCAGAAAUCUUUUUGUGCUGGGUUUCUCCAUGUUUUCUGGCCUCAUGUUGCCUAAAUACCUGCUCAUCCAGGCCUCAUCAAAACAGGUGUGGUUGAGCUAAAUCAAAUUGUCACAGUGCUCCUGACAACAGAGAUGUUUGUAGGGGGAUUCAUAGCAUUUGUACUGGAUAACACAAUCCCAGGCCCCAGAAAAGAGUUUGAUUGAAUGGGCGGAUGAGAGUUCUUCUGGAGGAGACACAGUGACAGCAGAAACAUAUGACUUUCCAGAGGGGAUGUCCCACUUUCCAAGGCUUUAGGUCAUCACGGUGCAAGUAUAAGGAGGAGGAGGAUGAUAUGACAAUGAAGGAAGGUGUUGAGAUGGAUGCUCCAGUUGAAAUGGCCUGCAUUAAAGUGUAGCGAUAUUCCUUAAUUAGACUGCGUUUAAUGCAGCAUCAUUUCUUGUGUGCAACUGCACCAAUUCUUUUUUUAUAUAAAUAUGUUUCUUUAGUAUUGCAUCUAAAGCACAGGAUAAUAAAAUGCUCCAUAAAUGUAUGGAUGCAUACAUUUUAACUAAUACAUCGAUGAACAGUUUAAGGAUGAAUGAUUGCUGUUUUUCUAACAUACAACCAAAUGUGAAAGUUUUUUUAUAAAUUAAGCAUUAGUUGUUUUAUUGAAAUGACCCAAAAACAAAAUGAAGGUCAGGUUUUUCUAAUUUAUUACAUCUUGAUUGUGUAUAAAACUACCAAGUGAUUAGCACUAAACAAAAUGUGUUCAUUAAUGUUUUGCUUCUGAAGAUAUAUAUAUAUAUAUA